rnacentral:rRNA from 1 species
GAUGAACGCUGGCGGCGUGCCUAAUACAUGCAAGUCGAGCGAACAGACGAGGAGCUUGCUCCUCUGACGUUAGCGGCGGACGGGUGAGUAACACGUGGAUAACCUACCUAUAAGACUGGGAUAACUUCGGGAAACCGGAGCUAAUACCGGAUAAUAUAUUGAACCGCAUGGUUCAAUAGUGAAAGACGGUUUUGCUGUCACUUAUAGAUGGAUCCGCGCCGCAUUAGCUAGUUGGUAAGGUAACGGCUUACCAAGGCAACGAUGCGUAGCCGACCUGAGAGGGUGAUCGCCCACACUGGAACUGAGACCCGGUCCAGCCUCCUACGGGAGGCAGCAGUAGGGAAUCUUCCGCAAUGGGCGAAAGCUUGACGGAGCAACGCCGCGUGAGUGAUGAAGGUCUUCGGAUCGUAAACCUCUUUUUUUAGGGAAGAAAAAAUGUGUAAGUAACUAUGCACGUCUUGACGGUACCUAAUCAGAAAGCCACGGCUAACUACGUG